UGAUAUUUUGAAGAGUUUUGUGAGCCAUUCUAUACCCCAAACUGACCACACCUCUCUCCCAUUCACUCUCAUAUGAUUUUUGAAGACUCUCUCAAGUAUUCUCUCCAUUUUCAACCCCAAGAACACCAAGGAAACAUGGAAGCUAAGUCUUGGUCUAGGAAGGGUUUUCCCUAAGUUGGUUAGGAUUUUUGAAAGGUUUUGAAGGAGCCAAAACUAAUAGGAAGGUCCAAACCUUAAGCAAGAACAACAAGAGUAUUGGCUAAGCGUAACUGGACUGAACGUUGGAGGGUGAAAACCUACUGAGUGCUAAGGACUCCAAGUAAGUGCAAGGGCAAGGCAGAGCAGUGAGCGCUGGAGUCUACCUUGCAAAUGUACAUGUGGACCGACCUUUUGGGGAAGCCGUUUUAUUUUGGAAAUGUUGUCAUAUGGAUAUAAUCUUCUACUAUCCUAGAAAGAAAGGCAAGUAUGCAAUGUCUCCUUAGGUCUCUUUCACAACUACUGAUUGCUUUUUUGAUGGAAGCAUAUCAUUUUUAUAUCAGAACUUUCUGCAGAAGGAUAAGGAUGUUUCUAUUGUUACUCUUAAGCAUGAUAUUGCUGAGUUUAUUAAAGGUAAAAGACUUAUGUGUGGAACCUCAUGCUUUCUUGUUGAUCAUGUGUUUUUUCCCAUCCAUAUGAAAGCUAAAGAACAUUUGAUUCUUGGUCGUUUAAGCAUUAAGGAGCGGUGUAUUUACAUGUAUAACUCCUUGAGGAGUGGUCGGUAUGAGAUUCCAGCUAUGAAGGCUUGUGAGGCAUAUGUUGUUUUGUUGCCUUUGUUCUUUGAGUUACUAGAUUUUUAUAAGGUUAGGAAUGAUCCAAAUCCAAGUUCCAAAGAUCCUAAGGCUCCUUUUAAUGUUGUUAAGGUUGAUGGAUUGCCAGAACAAGAGGAUAUGUAAGUAUAUAUUAAUUUUUUUAAUGGUUUAAGUUUUUUUGUUGUUUUUGUGUUUUGUUUUUUAGUAAUAAUUUGUUGUUUUGCUGUUGUUUUUUAGUGAUUAUGGUGUUUUUGUAACAUUGUUUGAUGAGUACUUUUUCGAUGGGAAGGUCAUUCAAUCAACAGAUUUUUCUGUUGAAGAUCACAGGUCUAGGCUUGCUGUCUUGUUCUAUUGAUAUGCCAUGAUGAAGCAAGUAGAAAAUGUUGAAAGUGAUAUUGAAGUUCCAAUCAAGGGUUAAGGCUAGGGGAAUGUUUUGAAGAUGGCAAACUUAUAAUGCAUAUUUCAGUAAUCAAGGGUAUAAGAACAACAAUGCAACAUAAGACUAACUAUUGACAUGCCUUUAUGGAUUUACUACUAUAGACGUUAUUUAUUUUUAUUUUUUUGUUUAUGUUUUUUGUUAUGCCAUGAAUUUGGAUUAUUGUCAUCCUUUUAUUCAAUACGUAUUAACUUUGAGCUUUUUUUUGCUAAAAUUUUGUCUAUAAUUUAAGAUCUUUGCAGUUGUAAAUUUAUAGUUUUUGUAUGAUGUUUUAGUUUUUCCACUAUUAGGUCAAUGCCAAAACAACACAAUAGAUUCGAUUAAGAAAAUAAGAAAAUGCAACAACUAUCGUACAACAAGGCAAUAGCAAUGCCACAUCAUGACACAAAUAUUUAUGCUCCAACCAAUUUAACACGUGUAAUAUUCAAAAAGUACAACUAGCUAUCAACAAUUAUGAGAUAUAUUAAGUAAA